rnacentral:piRNA from 1 species
AAAAUGGGUAUCAAUAAAUGUAUU